rnacentral:rRNA from 1 species
AUUGAACGCUGGCGGCAGGCCUAACACAUGCAAGUCGAGCGAGCGGCGGACGGGUGAGUAAUGUCUGGGAAACUGCCUGAUGGAGGGGGAUAACUACUGGAAACGGUAGCUAAUACCGCAUACCAUCAGAUGUGCCCAGAUGGGAUUAGCUAGUAGGUGGGGUAACGGCUCACCUAGGCGACGAUCCCUAGCUGGUCUGAGAGGAUGACCAGCCACACUGGAACUGAGACACGGUCCAGACUCCUACGGGAGGCAGCAGUGGGGAAUUUUGGACAAUGGGCGCAAGCCUGAUCCAGCCAUGCCGCGUGUCUGAAGAAGGCCUUCGGGUUGUAAAGGACUUUUGUUAGGGAAGCGGUACCUAAAGAAUAAGCACCGGCUAACUACGUGCCAGCAGCCGCGGUAAUAC